ACUUGUCCCCCAUCCAUGUACAGCCCACAUACAGCAAAGGCAGGAGCAGUGGCAGUGGAUGGGGCCUAGGACCAGUCGGGGCAGAGCUGAUGAGACCAAGAUUCACUGGUGUCAGAGUGAUGGCAAGAGCAGAGUGUGGAGGCCAAAAGGAACUAAGAUCCAAAGGAGGUGUUACCGCUUGGGCAUGUAUGGCUCCUACAUGUAAUGGCUCAAGUGUCUUCACUUAUGAUCUAACUGCUGAUAGAGGCAGCAGAAUGAAGAAGAGAGGUGAUUGAGAGUUUUCUUUAUUAUGGUGGGAAUUUUUCAGUCUUAAACUGUAGAGUUCUUCCUUAGCCUAUCAAGCUCUUUUUGCGAUUACUGAGCUCACCAGUGCUCUCUUUCUUCAUGAUGUUCCAAACUGUUGAUUUUGGUAAGCCUAAGGUAACCUGGUUUUUUGGACAUAUUUCUCAGCCUCAUAAUGGCUUCUUUGACUUUCACUGGCACAACUCUGGUCCUCAUAUCGACAAACAGCAGUUACAGACUCCAGAAACAAUCAAAGGCCUAGAAUCAAGAUACAGAAAGCUCUCUUAUACCUGCACUAAGGAAGAAAUUGAACACACCGGACUUAUCAGAAACACCUGUAAAGCUAUUUGUUCCAAACAUUAUAGUGUCUUGAAAUGGGGGUGGGCGUUGGGGGGUUAUGUAUAAAUUGAGCAGUAGCUAGCUAGCCAGUCACAACUAUAGUUUUAGCUAAAAGUUCACUAGACUGAGAGCACCUAUUAUGGACUGGGUGUGUGCAGUAGACAGCCAUUCAAGCAUAUUUGCAACCAUAUUUUAAAAUAGGCAAAAUAUUGAUAACACCCUGUACCUAGUUAAAUAGAAUUUUUUUUUCUUGUUCUAUUUUUUCAGUUCUUUCACUUUUUUUCUGUGCCAACAAAUAUGUUGGAAUAAUAUGAUAAUACGUGCUCUCACAGUUAACCAGCUAGCUGUAAGCCCUUUCCACUCAUCACCCGUGUGUGUUAGUUAGUUACCUACGAGCAAACAAUCAGCUACAGCUGUCUGAACCGCUCUUAAACUGGGGGGAUCCCCUUUGAACAAGCACCGACUCGGGGAACCCCAUAGAAACCUACGUCUGAUCAGGAAGUCACAGACACGCAAAGUCAUAGACAUGCAUUUCUGUACAUUGAAAAUGUGUUUUUGUUGAGAUGAUCUAAAACAGGGGUUCACCAUAUCAGCCCUGGGGCCCCCCUGUGUAUGCUGGCUUGUGUUCCACCCACAGUCGCAAUCCCAGAAUUUUAGCAAGCUGUAACAUUUUCUUAAUAAGGUGCUUUUCAUAUUUAAAGGGUUUCUUUACCCUCUUAAUCCACCUUAUGUCAGAAAUAAAUACAGGUAUGCAUUCCAUAAAGAAUAAAAUUCCCAUGUUAAUAUUGUGCCUAUUGUGUUAUAUUGAAAACAAUAGCAUAAAAGAGACAAAACUUCAAAUGAAAGACUGAGGUGAAUCAGUAGGCUCCUAAUCAGUGAAAGUGUGGAAACCUGGUCACUAAAACUACCCAUCUGGAUCAUAAUGAAUUCAAAGACAAUGCAAAUUAUAAUGAGUCAAACCUGCACUGUGUUAAUAAGAAUAAGGGAAAAAAAUAAGAAAGAAACACGUGUUCCACAACCUAAUUAGGAGGCUAUUGAUUUACCUCUGUUUUUUAUUUGAUAAAAACAUUUCAAAACAUUUUAUAUAAUUGUUUUCAAUAUAGCACACUAAGCACAGUGUAGCACAUUAUCAACAUGGGAAUUUCAUUCUUUGUGGCAUGCAAAGCUAUUUCUGAUAUAACACAGUUUAAGAGGGUAAAUAAUCCCUCUAAACAUGAAAAGCACAUAAUUAAGAAAAAUUUGCAGUUUGUUAAAAAUAUGGGGGCGUGAUAUUGGUUGGAACAAAAAUGAAUGAUAAUAUGUUCAAUACGUUUACCUUCUUUCAUCAUUCGUUUACCUUGAUUACACUGUUACAUUGCUCCAUUUGUUUUACUUAAGUUAUGCAUAACUUGUACAAAAUGUAUCCUAUGUACAAAAGGUACCUGAUAAGAGCAAGUUACUGUAGAUGAUAAAUGCAAGUAAUUCUGGCUGAACCUGUUUCUCUUAUCUUAGUCUGUUUGAGGAGGUCACAUUCUUGACAAUCCUAUCACUGUGCUCUGACAAA